UUGACCUCAAAUCAGGUAGGACUACCCGCUGAACUUAAGCAUAUCAAUAAGCGGAGGAAAAGAAACUAACAAGGAUUCCCCUAGUAACUGCGAGUGAAGCGGGAAAAGCUCAAAUUUAAAAUCUGGCAGUCUUUGGCUGUCCGAGUUGUAAUCUAGAGAAGUGUUGCCCACGCUGGACCGUGUAUAAGUCUUCUGGAAUGAAGCGUCAUAGAGGGUGAGAAUCCCGUCUUUGACAUGGACUCCCAGUGUAUUGUGGCGUGCUCUCAAAGAGUCGAGUUGUUUGGGAAUGCAGCUCUAAAUGGGUGGUAACCUCCAUCUAAAGCUAAAUAUUGGCAAGAGACCGAUAGUGAACAAGUACCGUGAGGGAAAGAUGAAAAGAACUUUGGAAAGAGAGUUAAACAGUACGUGAAAUUGUUGAAAGGGAAACGCUUGAAGUCAGUCACAUUGG
rnacentral:rRNA from 1 species